AAACAUGUCUAUUUGAAGGUAUUAAUAGUCUGGCCUGCCCACUGACAACAGGUUGUUGUUAAAGGGCCGCGGUAUACUGACCGUGCAAAGGUAGCAUAAUCAUUAGCUUUUUAAUUGAAAGCUUGUAUGAAUGGUCGGACAAAGGAGAAGCUGUCUAGUCUUGUAUAUACAGAAAUUAACUUUUAAGUGAAAAGGCUUAAAUUAUUCUGAGGGACGAUAAGACCCUAUAAAGCUUUAUGUCGUGCUUUUAUUUGAUUGAAUUAUUGAGUAUAAAAAUUUGGUAAAGGGGUUACAUUUUGUUGGGGCGACAUGGGUAUAAUUAAUAUUAACUGCUCAUUGAAUAACCACUAAUAAGUGAGUAAAAAUUGAUCCUUUUUAGAGAUUAAAGAUCAAGUUACUUUAGGGAUAACAGCGUUAUUUCUUUUUAGAGUCCAUAUCGAAAAAGAAGUUUGCGACCUCGAUGUUGAAUUAAAAUGUCUUUGUAGUGCAGCAGCUACAAAAGAAGGUCUGUUCGACCUUUAAAUUUUUACAUGA
rnacentral:rRNA from 1 species